AUAAAUAUGGUGUAUAUGUAAACAAAUAUACAUUUAGAAAAUACGAGAUUUCAUUUGCCAUGUUCACUGUUUAUUUUUUAUUGUCACUAUUUGACAUGGUAACAUACAUUUUUUUAUUUUAUUUUCUAUAUUUUUAUAUUGUGGUGGUCACUUUACUCUUUAUGCUUGCUAGUGUAUCAACAGAAUUUUCCCUUGUGGAUCAGUAAAGUAUUGCUAUUCUAUUUCUGUUCUAUAUAGCUGAUGGCAGUAAUAUUGAUCAGUAAAAAUGUAUUAAAUUAGUUAAAUAAUAUUAAUUAGUUGCUGAAUUCCAUUCAGUUUCAAGGUCCACUGUAAAUGUUAUUAGUAGCACCUUUGCUUCUCCCCCUAUGUCAAGUCAAGCUGUGAGUAAAAAGGUAAAAGUAAAAUUAAUGAUGACCACUUCCAGUCAAUUGUUUGCUGACUAACAACUCUGCAUAAGACAAUUAGUUAUACAUUUCUGUGUCAGGUGUCUUUAGUUGAAAUGGCUGAGAGUCAGGGGUUAACCCUGGUGUGCUUUAAUCUGUCCCAAAUUGAAAUGCAGGGAGGUGCUACAGCACAGCGGUGCCUGUUUGGACCCUGGUACUCCUGAGCCUCAGCGCCGAUGCCUGACCUGAAUUAGUGCUGUGAAGUCAACCGUGGAAAUGAUUCAGUGGCACUCCAGGCGAGUGGAGGAGAAUGUGGAAGAUGAAGGAGUGAGAAGGGGCGUUAAAGGACAAAUCCCCCACUAUGUGGAGCUGCUGCCAGGGACCCUCAUCUCUCCCGCUCACACACACACAGUAGUACCACAGACCCUGGGAAGCAGCCAGACGUGCAAUGAAGGAGGGUCAGCGGAGGGUCAAAGCAGAAGCAGCCAUGGUAGUUUUGUACUUGCAUGUACGAGAAAACAAUGCACAUAUGCAGACCACCUCUCUUCACUCACACCCACAUUCAACUUUAUUCACUCCCAUUUACUUGCAUAUCGUUAUCCUGUAACCCCACCUGUAUAAAUAAAGGAUGACAGGGACCACCUCUUCGUAGCUUACACUAGACGUGUCUCGUUACACUGGUGUGGUUAC